rnacentral:rRNA from 1 species
GUGUCAGCCGCCGCGGUAAGACGAACCGUGCGAACGUUGUUCGGAAUCACUGGGCUUAAAGGGCGCGUAGGCGGGUUCGAAAGUCUGUGGUGAAAGCCUCCAGCUUAACUGGAGAAGUGCCAUGGAUACUGCGAACCUGGAGGAGGGUAGGGGCAUCUGGAACGCUGGGUGGAGCGGUGAAAUGCGUUGAUAUCCAGCGGAACUCCGGUGGCGAAGGCGAGGUGCUGGACCCUUUCUGACGCUGAGGCGCGAAAGCCAGGGGAGCAAACGGGAUUAGAAACCCGAGUAGUCC